AUCGUAUGUGCUUAAUAGGGAACCAGGUGAAAGUCCCGGACAGUCCCGCUGCUGUGAGUCGUCCUUAGGACGGAGCGAACAAUUGAGAGUCACUGGCCUUACGCUGCUGGGAAGACGUUCGCUGCCAGACGAUGAGUCAGAAGACCUGCCUGUGGUGUC
rnacentral:ncRNA from 1 species